rnacentral:rRNA from 1 species
GUUGUGCUGACAAAAGACAACCUCGCUCGACGCAACUAGCAAGGAAGUAAGAAAUGUAACUUUUGUACUCAAGACGAGACAAUUAAACACCUCUUCAUUCAAUGCAAAUUUGUGCGAUCUAUAUGGUCAGUCAUCCAAAUAGCGUCCAAUUUGUAUCCGCCCACAAGUGUUGCCAAUAUAUAUGGUCACUGGCUUGACGGAAUACCAGAUACUUUUUGUACACUAAUACGGGUGGGAGCAUCAGCCUUAUUAUGGUCACUUUGA